rnacentral:rRNA from 1 species
UCAAGAUAAAAAGAGCGUAGGGCGAAUGCCUUGGCAUCAAGAGCCGAAGAAGGACGUGGCAAGCUGCGAAAAGCUGUGGAUAGCUGCAAACAAGCAUUGACCCACAGAUAUCCGAAUGAGGGAACUCGGCGGUGGUAAUGCGCCGUCACCGUAUAAUGAAUAGAUAGUUAUACGGAGGGAACCCGGUGAACUGAAACAUCUAAGUAGCCGGAGGAAAAGAAAGAAAGAUCGAUUCUCCUAGUAGCGGCGAGCGAACGGGGAAGAGCCCAAACCGAAAGUCUUCGGAUUUUCGGGGUUGCGGGCCGACGGACGUGAUCUGAUGAGUUUAGCAGAAUAGGUAUGGAAAUACCAGCCGGAGAGAGUAAAAGCCUCGUAAGCGAAAAACAAGUCAGCACAGUCGGUACCAGAGUACCACCGGACACGUGAAACCCGGUGGGAAGCAGGUGGGACCACCCACCAAGGCUAAAUACUACUUGAUGACCGAUAGCGAAUAGUACCGUGAGGGAAAGGUGAAAAGAACCCCGGGAGGGGAGUGAAAGAGAACCUGAAACCCUAUGCUUACAAGCAGAUGGAGCACUAUUAGAGAGUGUGACAUUGUACUUUUUGUAGAACGGGCCAGCGAGUUACGAUAUGCAGCGAGGUUAAGGCGUUAAGCGCCGGAGCCGCAGGGAGACCGAGUCUUAAUAGGGCGACAGUUGUAUGUUGUAGACCCGAAACCGGGCGACCUACCCAUGAGCAGGUUGAAGCGGUGGUAAGACACCGUGGAGGACCGAACCACACGCACGUUGAAAAGUGCGGGGAUGACUUGUGGGUAGCGGAGAAAUUCCAAUCGAGCUCGGAGAUAGCUGGUUCUCCUCGAAAUAGCUUUAGGGCUAGCCUCACUUGAAGAUAUAUGGGGGUAGAGCACUGAAUGGGCUAGGGGGUCUCAAAGCUUACCGAACCUUAUCAAACUACGAAUACCAUAUAUUACCUAAGUGGGAGUCAGACGGCGUGAGAUAAGUUUCGUCGUCAAAAGGGAAAGAGCCCAGAUCAUCAGCUAAGGCCCCAAAGUGCAGGUUAAGUGGAAAAGGAUGUGGGACUGCAUAGACAACUAGGAUGUUGGCUUAGAAGCAGCCACUCAUUUAAAGAGUGCGUAAUAGCUCACUAGUCGAGUGGUCCUGCGCCGAAAAUGUCCGGGGCUAAAACCUGCCGCCGAAGCUAUGGGUGCACGUAAGUGCGCGGUAGAGGAGCAUCGUGUAUUGGCAGAAGCGAUACCGAGAGGAGUCGUGGACGAUACAGGAGAGAGAAUGCUGGCAUGAGUAGCGAGAGGGAGGUGAGAAUCCUCCCCAUCGAAAGCCUAAGGUUUCCUGGGGAAGGCUCGUCCACCCAGGGUAAGUCGGGACCUAAGCCGAGGACUAGAUGGUCGUAGGCGAUGGACAACAGGUUGAUAUUCCUGUACUACCUUUAGCGUUAAAACGAGGCAGUGACACAGGAGGAUAGGCAGAGCGGGUUGAUGGUAGAACCCGUCCAAGCAUUUAGGGAGACAGAGUAGUGAAGUACGCUUUGUUGAUAAUUCUGAGAUGUGAUGGGGACAGAAAAUAAGUAUGGAAGCUGCUGAAUCCACACUGGCGAGAAAAGCUGCUAGGAGCGAAGAGGUACCCGUACCGCAAACCGACACAGGUAGGCGAGGAGAGAAUCCUAAGAUGAGCGAGAUAACCAUUGUUAAGGAACUCGGCAAAAUGACCCCGUAACUUAGGGAGAAGGGGUGCCUAGAAAUAGGUCGCAGAGAAUAGGUCCAAGCGACUGUUUAGCAAAAACACAGGUCUGUGCGAAAUCGAGAGAUGAAGUAUACGGGCUGACGCCUGCCCAGUGCCGGAAGGUUAAGGGGAAAUGUUAGUCGAAAGGCGAAGCAUGGAACUUAAGCCCCGGUGAACGGCGGCCGUAACUAUAACGGUCCUAAGGUAGCGAAAUUCCUUGUCAGGU